rnacentral:rRNA from 1 species
CGCGCAGGCGGUUUUUUAAGUCUGAUGUGAAAGCCCACGGCUCAACCGUGGAGGGUCAUUGGAAACUGGAAAACUUGAGUGCAGAAGAGGAAAGUGGAAUUCCAUGUGUAGCGGUGAAAUGCGCAGAGAUAUGGAGGAACACCAGUGGCGAAGGCGACUUUCUGGUCUGUAACUGACGCUGAUGUGCGAAAGCGUGGGGAUCAAACA